rnacentral:lncRNA from 1 species
UGGGACAAGAAGUGAGCUCGAUCUGGAGUCAGACUGCUAGAUAGUUAGAAGCAGCUUAUCUUUUAUUGAUGAACAUUUGAAAAUCUUGUAAUUGAACCGAUUGUUUAUUUGGACAUGUCGGAUUUGUCAAUUUGAAUUAAUUAAUUAGUUGUGGAUUUAUUGAAUUGUUGUUUAUCUUAGGCCUUGCAUGAUCUUUAGGGCACUGCUCUAGGGCUCAUGC